UAAUUAUUGAGAGACUGUUAGCACAC
rnacentral:piRNA from 1 species